AUGGCCUGGGCUCUGCUCCUUCUCACCCUCCUCACUCAGGGCACAGGGUCCUGGGCCCAGUCUGUUCUGACUCAGCCUCGCUCAGUGUCCAGGUCUCCUGGACAGUAGGUUACUAUCUUCUGCACUGGAACCAGCAGUGACAUUGGGGGUUAUGACCUUGUCUCCUGGUGCCAGUAGCACCCAGGCAAAGCCCCCAAACUCAUGAUUUAUGAUGUCGGUAAUUGGCCCUCAGGGGCCCCUGGUUGCUUCUCUGGCUCCAAGUCUGGCAACACGGCCUCCCUGACCAUCUCUGGGCUCCAGGCUGAGGACGAGGCUGAUUAUUACUGCAGCUCAUAUGCAGGCAGCUACAAUUUC